CCUACGGGUGGCUGCAGUGGGGAAUAUUGCACAAUGGGGGAAACCCUGAUGCAGCGACGCCGCGUGGGUGAUGACGUCUUUCCGUAUGUAAAGCCCUAUCAGCAGGGAAGUAAAAUGACGCUACCUGACCAAUCUGCACCGGCUAAAUACGUGCCAGCAGCCGCGGUACUACGGAGGGUGCAAGCGUUAGCCGGAUUGAUUGGGUUGAAAGGGAGCGCAGGCGGGACGUUAAGACUGAUUUGAAAACCUGCGGCUCAACCGCGGGAGUGCAUUGGGAACUGGCGGGCUGGAGUACAGGAGGGGUAGGCGGAAUGCCUGGUGUAGCGGUGAAAUGCGUAGAUAUUAGGAGGAACACCAGUGGCGAAGGCGGCCUACUGGACGGAGACUGACGCUGAGGCUCGAAAGCGUGGGGAGCAAACAGGAUUAGAUACCCUAGUAGUC
rnacentral:rRNA from 1 species